CACAGGACCAGUCCGUUCUCUUGAGUCCUUUAAACAUUAGGUCAGUAAAAAUAUCUGAAAUAAGAUCUGAAUGCUGAAGAAAUGUCAAAGAACACCUUAGUAUGUCCAAAUGCUUCAGAAUAUAUUUGCAUUCAUUUUGCAACAUAUUUAACUAGUGUAGAAAGAUAUCGUCAGACUUUUCUACCACUGAAUGCUUCAAAGUUUACUCUCUCUGUUCCUGAUACACAUUGAGUCAUCAACCAAGCAAGAAUGCUGAAAAUAGAUAUGAUACUGAAACAAAUUGAUGAGACCUAAUCUGCAGCUUCAGCAGCAAAUUCAGUUAAAGAUGGAAAAAAAGAGCCCAACUCACAUAAAAACAACAGGUCGAAACAAAUCUAUCAGGAUUGGUCUACUAGACUGCCUGUUAUUAGUCUGCGAACUGCAGUGGACAUAGACUAUUACUUCAUAAUAAUUUCAGAGAAAGAGGCAUCCUACAUGUAGAACCAGAAAAUAAAUUAUAGAAAACCCCUGGCUAGACAAAUAAAGAUUACAAA